CCUACGGGAGGCAGCAGUAAGGAAUAUUGGUCAAUGGACGAAAGUCUGAACCAGCCAUGCCGCGUGAAGGAUUAAGGCCCUCUGGGUUGUAAACUUCUUUUAUCUGGGACGAAAAAAGGGUAGUCUUACUCACUUGACGGUACCAGAGGAAUAAGCACCGGCUAACUCCGUGCCAGCAGCCGCGGUAAUACGGAGGGUGCAAGCGUUAUCCGGAUUUACUGGGUUUAAAGGGUGCGUAGGUGGGCUUGUAAGUCAGUGGUGAAAUCUCCGGGCUUAACCCGGAAACUGCCAUUGAUACUAUAGGUCUUGAAUUAUCUGGAGGUAAGCGGAAUAUGUCAUGUAGCGGUGAAAUGCUUAGAUAUGACAUAGAACACCAAUUGCGAAGGCAGCUUACUACGGAUACAUUGACACUGAGGCACGAAAGCGUGGGGACUACAACGAGUAGUAGUACUACCGUAGGUACGUACCGACCGUAACCCGUAAACGUAGUAGGUACUUACCGUACCGAACUACUACGACGACGUACUAACUACGUUGGUUGGUUCGUUCGUAGUACGGAACGGAACGAACGUAAGUUAAGUUACCGUACCCGUACCGGUAACGGGUAACGGUAACGUACGUACGUAACGUAAGUAGUUAAGUUAAACGUAAACGUUAAAGUUAAAGUUAAGGACGGCGNGAGACGCGACGACGACGACGACGGAGGAGGAGG
rnacentral:rRNA from 1 species